rnacentral:rRNA from 1 species
AGCAAUACUUAGUGGCAGACGGGUGAGUAACAUGUAGGUAUCUACCCUUUGGCCUGGAAUAACACGAGGAAACUUGUGCUAAUACCGGAUAAGUCUUUACAGAGAAAGCUUUAUGCACCAUUGGAUGAGCCUGCACUUGAUUAGUUUGUUGGUAGGGUAAUGGCCUACCAAGACUGUGAUCAAUAGCUGAUUUGAGAGGAUGAUCAGCCACAUUGGGACUGAGACACGGCCCAAACUCCUACGGGAGGCAGCAGUGGGGAAUCUUGCACAAUGGAGGAAACUCUGAUGCAGCGAUGCCGCGUGAGUGAAGAAGGCCUUUGGGUUGUAAAGCUCUUUCGUCGGGGAAGAAAAUGACUGUACCCGAAUAAGAAGGUCCGGCUAACUUCGUGCCAGCAGCCGCGGUAAUACGAAGGGACCUAGCGUAGUUCGGAAUUACUGGGCUUAAAGAGUUCGUAGGUGGUUGAAAAAGUUGGUGGUGAAAUCCCAGAGCUUAACUCUGGAACUGCCAUCAAAACUUUUCAGCUAGAGUUUGAUAGAGGAAAGCAGAAUUUCUAGUGUAGAGGUGAAAUUCGUAGAUAUUAGAAAGAAUACCAAUUGCGAAGGCAGCUUUCUGGAUCAAUACUGACACUGAGGAACGAAAGCAUGGGUAGCGAAGAGGAUUAGAUACCCUCGUAGUCCAUGCCGUAAACGAUGUGUGUUAGACGUUGGAAAUUUAUUUUCAGUGUCGCAGCGAAAGCGAUAAACACACCGCCUGGGGAGUACGACCGCAAGGUUAAAACUCAAAUGAAUUGACGGGGACCCGCACAAGUAGUGGAGCAUGUGGUUUAAUUCGAAGAUACGCGCAGAACCUUACCAACACUUGACAUGUUCGUCGCGACUUUAAGAGAUUAAAGUUUUCGGUUCGGCCGGACGAAACACAGGUGCUGCAUGGCUGUCGUCAGCUCGUGUCGUGAGAUGUUGGGUUAAGUCCCGCAACGAGCGCAACCCUCACUUUUAGUUGCCAUCAUUA